UACGUAGGGGGCGAGCGUUGUCCGGAGUUACUGGGCGUAAAGGGCGUGCAGGCGGUGCGGUAAGUUUAGCGUGACAGUCUCCGGCUUAACUGGAGAAGGCCGCUGAAAACUGCUGGACUUGAGGGCCAGAGAGGGACAUAGAAUUCCGGGUGGAGUGGUGAAAUGCGUAGAUAUCGGGAGGAACACCAGUGGCGAAGGCGACUACCUGGCCUGUUCUUGACGCUGAGGCGCGAAAGCUAGGGGAGCAAACGGG
rnacentral:rRNA from 1 species